GACGAACCGAGCGAACGUUGUUCGGAAUCACUGGGCUUAAAGGGCGCGUAGGCGGACUAUCAAGUCUGGGGUGAAAUCCCGCGGCUCAACCGUGGAACUGCCUCAGAUACUGACGGUCUCGAGGGAGGUAGGGGCAUGCGGAACUGUAGGUGGAGCGGUGAAAUGCGUUGAUAUCUACAGGAACUCCGGUGGCGAAAGCGGCGUGCUGGACAGUGACUGACGCUGAGACGCGAAAGCGUGGGGAGCAAACAGG
rnacentral:rRNA from 1 species